GUGGGGAAUUUUGGACAAUGGGCGCAAGCCUGAUCCAGCAAUGCCGCGUGCAGGAAGAAGGCCUUCGGGUUGUAAACUGCUUUUGUACGGAACGAAACGGUUCUCUCUAAUACAGGGAGCUAAUGACGGUACCGUAAGAAUAAGCACCGGCUAACUACGUGCCAGCAGCCGCGGUAAUACGUAGGGUGCAAGCGUUAAUCGGAAUUACUGGGCGUAAAGCGUGCGCAGGCGGUUUUGUAAGACAGAGGUGAAAUCCCCGGGCUCAACCUGGGAGCUGCCUUUGUGACUGCAAGGCUGGAGUGCGGCAGAGGGGGAUGGAAUUCCGCGUGUAGCAGUGAAAUGCGUAGAUAUGCGGAGGAACACCGAUGGCGAAGGCAAUCCCCUGGGCCUGCACUGACGCUCAUGCACGAAAGCGUGGGGAGCAAACAGGAUUAGAUACCCGUGUAGUCC
rnacentral:rRNA from 1 species